ACACCAGAUUUUCUGUCGGAGAAGAAGGAAGCUGAGGCGAUGGAGACCUUCUGUUCGGGCAUGGAAAACAUCGGUAUAAAGCUCGCCAAUUUCUCCGGCGGACCACCGUGCCGCGAUCUCCAAACCCGCCUCGAUCUCGCUCUCGCUCUCCGUCUGAUCCCUCGCCGGGCGUCCAGGUCCCCCGUCGGUUUUCCGAGGAUAUCGAGGGUUUCCUUAGGGCCGUGAUCAAUCAUGUUUAGCUGGAUGCGCUGGCUUUUAAAGAAACUUAAUCUGGAGACCGACGCUCAGCGUCUGUCCACGACGAUGGACAAGUUGAACAUGAUGUACUUCCUUGAGCUCCCAAUGGAGACCUGUGCCUGGGGCUCUUGGGUCCAUUUGGUUCAACUUUGAGAAAAUGGCUUUGCAUUCCUCGAAUAUCUUUGAAUGGAUGGGCAUUUUGUGAA